GUGGGGAAUAUUGGACAAUGGGCGAAAGCCUGAUCCAGCCAUGCCGCGUGUGUGAAGAAGGUCUUCGGAUUGUAAAGCACUUUAAGUUGGGAGGAAGGGCAGUAAGUUAAUACCUUGCUGUUUUGACGUUACCAACAGAAUAAGCACCGGCUAACUUCGUGCCAGCAGCCGCGGUAAUACGAAGGGUGCAAGCGUUAAUCGGAAUUACAGGGCGUAAAGCGCGCGUAGGUGGUUCAGCAAGUUGAAGGUGAAAUCCCCGGGCUCAACCUGGGAACUGCCUCCAAAACUACUGAGCUAGAGUACGGUAGAGGGUAGUGGAAUUUCCUGUGUAGCGGUGAAAUGCGUAGAUAUAGGAAGGAACACCAGUGGCGAAGGCGACUACCUGGACUGAUACUGACACUGAGGUGCGAAAGCGUGGGGAGCAAACAGGAUUAGAUACCCGGGUAGUCC
rnacentral:rRNA from 1 species